UGAUGCUAGAGUAGAACAGGUCUGGACCUUGUUAAUGUAACUGCUGCCAGCUUUCCUGUAAGGAUCCCCAUCCAGGCCCUUCAGCAACUGUAGGAGCGGGCGUGGUGUCGUCGCUACUGUCAAAUCCUGGACCCGGCAGCCGACUUUUUCCUGACUUGGACAUCAGCAGCGGAAGCAAGGGAAGUUUCAAGACACACAGUAAAGUUUGCUUCAGUCCAGGGAUCACAGUGCACAAAACCAGAGCAUACUUCUCUCUGAGCUCUCCGUGAUGUUGAAAAACUUCUUCAAGGAUGACCAAAUGCUUACCCCGCCUUGUGCCCAGCUCAGUGCAGACAGAAGUCACUACACUGAACGAGAACUACAACCAGGAAGCAGUCUCCACCCUGAGAAGCAGCCAUUAGUACACAGAGGAGAUUCCAUGGACACGGGGCCAUCCACAGGAACACAAACAACCCAUCAGCUGCCAAACUGCUGAAGAAAAGUGACUCCCCUCCUCCAGCAGGCGUAAGUUGCCAGUGGCUAAGAGUGGAACUGCCUGAGUCCCCACCUCCAUCGAUGCUGCAAAGUGCGUGCCUCGACUUUGUGCAGGGCCAGCUUUAAGAGGACAGAGCCAUGGAUUGCGAGUGGGAGAGAUUGUGUCUGUAAGGGCAGAGGAGACACCAAUGAACUGAGUGCCACCUGCUUCCGUGUGACAGGAGCCUCGCAUAACUGUUUUCUGAGAGGCUUCAUCCAGCAGUGGAUGAAACGGAUGCAGAGAGACCCACAGCCAAACAUCAGGCGGACGGAGCUCGGGCAUCAGAGCGUGGAUGCUCCAACACUGCACAGGAAGCUAAAAAAGAAAGGUCAGUCCCUGGCACUUACAAGCAUGGUGUUUUCUAGUUGUUCUCAAGCAGAAGAGAUGGAGGACCAGAAAGAAUAGAACAGUGCCCGUUUCAUGGGGACCGAACACACUGAGAGAACCUUACCACAGUUAAGUCUCUCUGCCCACAAGGGACCUAUGGGAUCCACCAUCACACCGGGAGAUCAAGGCACAGCAAAGACACAUAUCUGGGACUCACAACUCAGAUCCUUCUAUUCCUUGUAACUGCUCCAUUAAAGGCACAGAAAAGAAAACGGUGCCAUUUUACUGAUGGAUUCAGUGCAACAGAUGGACCAUCCACCUGACCAAACUGCAGAAUCGAAGUAUCCAUGCACGGAGAUAUCAUCUUCACAGAAAAUUAAAAAUCCCACAUUUAAAUCUCCAUAUAGUCACAGACUCUAUUAUAUGACUGCAAGCAGUUCCUUCCUGUCUGAGCCUCAGUUUCUCUAUUACAAUGGAGAGAGUUAAACUAAACAGAUUUUCCCCAAAGGAUGCCACAUGCUUUUCGGUCCUCCCAUUCAGAGCUGACAUUCUAUGAUCCUUCCCCCACCCCCACCCCCACCCCCAAACAGUUGGAGUCUUAUUUUUAACUACACAUAGAUGUCUCUUACAAAUUAUCCAGGGUCAUGGAUUAGCUGAAAAUACAAAAGCUUAAUUUCCUCUG
rnacentral:lncRNA from 1 species